UACAGAGGUCUCAAGCGUUGUUCGGAUUCAUUGGGCGUAAAGGGUGCGUAGGUGGCGCCGUAAGUCGGGUGUGAAAUUUCGGAGCUUAACUCCGAAACUGCAUUCGAUACUGCGGUGCUUGAGGACUGGAGAGGAGACUGGAAUUUACGGUGUAGCGGUGAAAUGCGUAGAUAUCGUAAGGAAGACCAGUGGCGAAGGCGGGUCUCUGGACAGUUCCUGACGCUGAGGCACGGAAGGUCAGGGGAGCAAACGGG
rnacentral:rRNA from 1 species